GCCCCUGUUGUCUAAUGGUUAUGACGUCAGACUUCUAUAACAGUUCCAUCUGGAGGUUGCGGGUUCGAGUCCCGCCAGGGGUU